GAAAAUUCAAGAGCAAAGGACUUGCAGACUGAAGGAGAUGCUCUGCUUUCUCUCUGAGGGAGAUGUUGAACAAAGCUCUAUGUGAGGUGAAUGAGGUACUCAGUACCAUGUUAAGAAGGUGCUGAGUACCUAGAACAUCUAUUGGAUUCUCUGGAAAUUGAAACCAUUCAGUACCCUACAGGAGGCAUUCAGCACCAGUUAUCACCUAGGAUGAGUCUCUCAGGUGCCAUAAAGGGGAAAAAAUGUGUAGAGAAGACAAUACCUUCCCCAGAGUGCUCUCCGUCUACAUAUCAGG